rnacentral:rRNA from 1 species
AACGAACGCUGGCGGCAGGCCUAACACAUGCAAGUCGAACGGGACCUUCGGGUCUAGUGGCGGACGGGUGAGUAACGCGUGGGACCGUGCCCUUUGGUUCGGAAUAGCCCCGGGAAACUGGGGGUAAUACCGGAUAAGCCCUACGGGGGAAAGAUUUAUCGCCAACGGAUCGGCCCGCUUGGGAUUCGGUAGUUGGUGAGGUAAUGGCUAACCAAGCCGACGAUCCAUAGCUGGUUUGAGAGGAUGAUCAGCCAAACUGGGACUGAGACAAGGGCCAGACUCCUACGGGAGGCAGCAGUGGGGAAUCUUAGACCAUGGGGGAAACACUGAUCUAGCUAUGCCGCGUGAUCGAUGAAGGCCUUAGGGUUGUAAAGAUCUUUCAGUGGGGAAGAUAAUGACUGUACCCACAGAAGAAGCACCGGCUAGCUCCGUGCCAGCCGCCGCAGUAAAAC